CUAAAAGGGUCUCCGAAAAUUGGUGUUAGCGGCUCAGUGCUAGGCUGCGCAUUGUCGCUGCAAAAGAUUGCGGAUAUAGUAAAAUAUCCUCCGACAGGGUUUGGAUGUUGAUGCUGGCCAUCGUUGCCAACACUAAUUCGUUGAGUAAAAGGGUAACUUUUUACUAGGGCACGUCGAAUGACAGUCAGUGCAAAAUGCAGUCAAGAAAAAAUAAAAAAAGGAAAUCGUUGCAAUCGAAUCUAUAAAAUAAAAACGUCUUUAUUAAAAGAUUGUGUGGAAAACUAUGAAAAAUAUAUGAUAAAAAUGUCAAUAACCAUUCUAAGCAAAAGGAGGACAUAAUAAUAAUUUGCAAACAUAGAAGCCAGAAUGCGAAAAGUCUGCGGGAUUUCCAAAACAGUCAACUCAUGACCAAAGAAACGAAUGCAAACACUGGGUGUAAAGGUGCUAAAGUCAUUAAAUUGGCUACGUUUAACCUACUUUACCAGCGAACAACUAACAAGGAGCCGGAACAAUGGAGAAACGUUUUGAACACCGACGGCGCCGACUUACAAUUCGUCGUACAACUCAUCCGGGCUAUUAUAUCCUAUACAAAAGCGUUUGUUAGUGUGUGUUCGACCGAGGAGGAAAAACCUGCUGACAUUGGAAAAUGUGAAAAAUAUCAAUGUUGGUCUGACGGUCUGCAUUUUGCCUGCCUUCUCACGAGUUUGUCCGUUGCGCGCCGUAAUGAUGUUUUGUAGCUAAGUGCAUAUAAUACAAGGCUCAGCUGCUGGUUGCAGGCCACGGAGACACAUGCUUAUGUUGAAAGCCAUUAUACUGUUUACUGCUCGGAAUUAAACUGACCCAGUGGGAACAAAUAAUGCAUUGUAAUGCCUUUUUCACGCCAGCCUUGGUAAACAAAGUGAGGCAACAUUUUGUUCAUUGCAAGGAGUAAUUGUGCUUGUGAAGACAACAGACCUCAUCGCUGUUGGGCAGCAUAUUGGAAAUAUUUUGGCGGUGGUUAGGAAUGAUCGCAAGAAUGCAGAAAGAGUCACUACGGAGUAAACAAAAAAACAGAAGUAACCCCUAUCGGUCAAUGAAAAUUAGGACUGGCGACGGUCUAUAACAAAACCGUAUCUAGAUUCACUAACGGCAUCUUUAAAAUCAACGUUUUUCCAAUGAAAAUACUACAGCUUUUUCGCUGUAUAGAUUGCACCCAUUGUAUUCGAUUAAAGCUCCCAGAAUUGCAGCGGACGACGGUGAAGCGGUCGACGGUUAACUAGUUAUGGUCCGUGAACUCAUUCUUUGGUAUAAUUUAUGGAAGAAAGAGAAAAAGAAUUUGUCCAAAGAAGAUUUGAAGGAUAUUUAAGUUGUAGAUCUAUUUAAAGAAGAAAGCGAAUUUCUACCAGCGCUUUUCCAUGCACAACAGCGACUGUGGAGCGAUCGUUUCGUAGACUUCGUAGCUCAGAACCACUUCGUGACUCAGAACCACAACAGGAGAAGAAAAGCUUUCUGGGCUAUGCCUCAUGAUCGUCCAUAGAAAACUCGUUACUGAAAACCGCGAGGUGAUUCAGAAGGAAAUAAUCGAAGAGUUUGUUGAAAAUCCGAGACGAUUGUUA